rnacentral:rRNA from 1 species
AGCGGCUGAGGGUUUGGGAUGGCUCGAGGAGGAGGGGGGUAGGGGAGCAACGCCGCCGCUGUCUCUCCUCUCUCUCUCUCUCUCUACCGCUUCAGAGACGCCAGGUUCGCCCUCUUCGCCGACGCCUGCGAGGCCGCCCUCUAGCGCCUCGGGAAGAUGCUGUUCUUCCUCCGGCGGUUCGUCCGGCGCGUCCGGCGGCGGGAGCUCCGGGGGUUCGAGGGGCAGGCGCACGUGGGCUACAUGCUCCUCAGGGAGCGGCGGCGGCGACGGCGGCGGCGGUCGGCCCGGAGCCGGUACCUCCAACUACCUCCUUCGUUCUUCAGACGUAGGAAGGACUUCGGUUACCCGUGGUAAUCGUUCUUCUUCCAUGUCGAAGUGAACUUCUAGUUCUUUCUGUUCUCUUUUCGAUCCUUCUUCCCUUUAAGACCCUUCUUCUCAAUAAUCCACACGCUCGACGAGACAAUACAUAGUACGUUAAAACAAAGCAAUCAAACUUGUUGCGUACAUUGCCAUUAAGACGAACACGUGGAUUCACAAUUGGUAGGUAAGAUCCCACCGGUUGUUUACAUGACCUUAUAGAGUUGCUCGUGAGCUCUGCUUUGAUCACAGACGGUUCAAGUAGACAAACAUGGGUGAACAGACUUGAACUCGAGUGGACUAAUGCUCCAAUACGGUAACACUUGAUGACGGCUGCAGGGUUUUAUAUUCUACAAAACGUCAAGUUGCAGGG